rnacentral:tRNA from 1 species
CAUUAAAUAACUGAAAGCAAGUAAUGGUCUCUUAAACCAUAUUAUAGUAAAUUAGCGCCUACUUUUAAUGA